AUUGAACGCUGGCGGAAUGCUUUACACAUGCAAGUCGAACGGCAGCACGGGGGCAACCCUGGUGGCGAGUGGCGAACGGGUGAGUAAUACAUCGGAACGUGCCCAGUCGUGGGGGAUAACGUAGCGAAAGCUACGCUAAUACCGCAUACGAUCUACGGAUGAAAGCGGGGGAUCGCAAGACCUCGCGCGAUUGGAGCGGCCGAUAUCAGAUUAGCUAGUUGGUGGGGUAAAAGCUCACCAAGGCGACGAUCUGUAGCUGGUCUGAGAGGACGACCAGCCACACUGGAACUGAGACACGGUCCAGACUCCUACGGGAGGCAGCAGUGGGGAAUUUUGGACAAUGGGCGCAAGCCUGAUCCAGCAAUGCCGCGUGCAGGAUGAAGGCCUUCGGGUUGUAAACUGCUUUUGUACGGAACGAAACGGUGAGCUCUAAUAAAGCUUGCUAAUGACGGUACCGUAAGAAUAAGCACCGGCUAACUACGUGCCAGACG
rnacentral:rRNA from 1 species